GUGGCACAUGUAUGGAGCAUUAAAUAUAGAUGAAAACAAAAAAUAAUUGCACAGUUAAUUACCUAUAAAUCACAAAAUGAAUCUUUUAAGCCUAGUUACUCCAUGAUUAAUAAUGUUUGUGAAACAAAGACGAAAGUGCUACAGUGUCAAAAUCGAAAAACUUUUUGAAUCUAAACAAGGCUGUCACACCCAAUUUUAAGGAUAAAAUUGAAUGCAAAACCUUAUGUGUGCCCAGAGAUAUGCAAAACCUUAUGUGUGCCCAGAGAUCAAUCACACAUAAGCCGACAAAUUAUAGGGAGUAUCAUCACAAGUGUUUAUACAUAACGAUAUAACUCAGAGUCUUUACAUAAAUAUAGCGGAAAAUAAAAGAUAACUCUAGC
rnacentral:lncRNA from 1 species